UGUUUGAAACUCAAUGCAUACAUUACA
rnacentral:piRNA from 1 species